UACGUAGGGAGCAAGCGUUGUCCGGAAUCAUUGGGCGUAAAGAGCUCGUAGGCGGUCUGUCGCGUCGGCUGUGAAAACUCGGGGCUCAACCCCGAGCCUGCAGUCGAUACGGGCAGACUAGAGUGCUGUAGGGGAGACUGGAAUUCCUGGUGUAGCGGUGAAAUGCGCAGAUAUCAGGAGGAACACCGGUGGCGAAGGCGGGUCUCUGGGCAGUAACUGACGCUGAGGAGCGAAAGCGUGGGGAGCGAACAGG
rnacentral:rRNA from 1 species